rnacentral:rRNA from 1 species
GACGAACGCUGGCGGCGUGCUUAACACAUGCAAGUCGAACGGUAAGGCUCCAGCUUGCUGGGGUACACGAGUGGCGAACGGGUGAGUAACACGUGGGUGACCUGCCCUGCACUUCGGGAUAAGCCUGGGAAACUGGGUCUAAUACCGGAUAGGACCAUGGUGUGGAUACUGUGGUGGAAAGUUUUUUCGGUGUGGGAUGGGCCCGCGGCCUAUCAGCUUGUUGGUGGGGUAAUGGCCUACCAAGGCGGCGACGGGUAGCCGGCCUGAGAGGGUGGACGGCCACAUUGGGACUGAGACACGGCCCAGACUCCUACGGGAGGCAGCAGUGGGGAAUAUUGCACAAUGGGCGGAAGCCUGAUGCAGCGACGCCGCGUGGGGGAUGACGGCCUUCGGGUUGUAAACUCCUUUCACCAUCGACGAAGGGUUUCUGACGGUAGAUGGAGAAGAAGCACCGGCUAUCUACGUG